rnacentral:rRNA from 1 species
UACGUAGGGUGCGAGCGUUGUCCGGAAUUAUUGGGCGUAAAGGGCUCGUAGGCGGUUUGUCGCGUCGGGAGUGAAAACUCAGGGCUUAACCCUGAGCCUGCUCCCGAUACGGGCAGACUAGAGGUAUGCAGGGGAGAACGGAAUUCCUGGUGUAGCGGUGAAAUGCGCAGAUAUCAGGAGGAACACCGGUGGCGAAGGCGGUUCUCUGGGCAUUACCUGACGCUGAGGAGCGAGAGUGUGGGGAGCGAACAGG